UACGUAGGGGCAAGGCGUUGUCCGGAUUCGAUUGGCGUAAAGAGCGUGUAGGCGGCCAGGUAGGUCGGUUGUGAAAACUGGAGGCUCAACCUUCAGAGGUCGACCGAAACCAUCUGGCUAGAGUCCGGGAGAGGAGAGUGGAAUUCCGUGGUGUAGCGGUGAAAUGCGCAGAUAUCAGGAAGAACACCCGUGGCGAAAGCGGCUCUCUGGAACGGUACUGACGCUGAGACGCGAAAGCGUGGGGAGCGAACAGG
rnacentral:rRNA from 1 species